UACGUAGGGGGCAAGCGUUGUCCGGAAUCAUUGGGCGUAAAGAGCGUGUAGGCGGCCCGGUAAGUCCGCUGUGAAAGUCCAGGGCUCAACCCUGGGAUGCCGGUGGAUACUGUCGGGCUCGAGUCCGGAAGAGGAGUGUGGAAUUCCUGGUGUAGCGGUGAAAUGCGCAGAUAUCAGGAGGAACACCAAUGGCGAAGGCAGCACUCUGGGGACGUGACUGACGCUGAGACGCGAAAGCGUGGGGAGUCAAACAGG
rnacentral:rRNA from 1 species